GUCGAGUUUGUGGACAAAGAAGCAGUCGCAGUUACCAGUGUGUCUCGGAAGGUAACUUUCUACAAUGGACCAAGCUCUACGGACUUCAUAAAUGUCCAUGACAUUUUUCUUGAAUGUGAUCAUGAUUCAAUCAUAUACCUUGGGAAGUCUGUUGAACCAACAAUAUAUGAUCUUUUGGGUGAUCAAGAGGUUGAAAUCUGCUUGUUGAAAAAUGGAAAACCAUCAUGGACGAAGAAGUUUCUUUGCUCCAAAGUCAGGUCUGUCUUCAUUGCUGUCACAUACAACUCAUGCAGA